CGAAGUGCUCAGAACGUGUAUUGGUUUUGGCAGAGUUGUACACAAUAUGUUAUGGUUACUUCAUGAUGGCCAUGAAGCGAAAUAAUGUUGAGCCUCUGCGUUUGGUCGUUUGGAACUGGCCACAAUGCGUUGUGGCUGUUUUUUUCAGUCGUGCAAUUUCAAUGUUUGGGUAUAAUAUAUAUAUUAUUAAAAAAUAUUGCAAUAAUUAUUACUUAUUUAUUCUAUUUCUUGCAGUUUGAUUUUGGAUUUAAAAGAGCAAUUAUGUAUCAGUUAAUCUCUGAAUUUAAGCUAAAUAUGGAAAUAAACAUGCC
rnacentral:lncRNA from 1 species